GUAAUCGCGGAUCAGAAUGCCGCGGUGAAUACGUUCCCGGGUCUUGUACACACCGCCCGUCACACCAUGGGAGUCGGAAAUGCCCGAAGUCUGUGACCCAACCGCAAGGAGGGAGCAGCCGAAGGCAGGUCGGAUGACUGGGGUGAAGUCGUAACAAGGUACC
rnacentral:rRNA from 1 species